rnacentral:lncRNA from 1 species
CACAUCAAUUUAAUCAGAACUUUAUAGAUUUGAUCUUUUGACUCUUUCUUAAACCUUUGCCCUCCUGUUUAUCCUCACUGCCAGUGAGUGAGCCUUUUAUGAGCCUUUUAUGAGCCUGCCAAUUUCUUUUUGUGAAACCAGCUUCUUGCUCUGAUGAGCCAAAUUCCACACUCACAACAGAGUUGGCAGUUUAAAACACAAAAAACUUGAUUCAUUUCAUCUGCCUCUUGAAAGUCUUUCAUGACUCCCUGUGGCCGUAUAACAGAGCCUGAGUCAUUUACAGCCCUGCAACCUGAAUCUAAUUUUGUUAUCAAACACCAUGCUAUGUCUCCUCUGUUGCAGGUGCACGACCCUGGUUGACAUUCCUUUAAUACGCCAGCCUCUUCAUUGUCUUUAGCCUUUUAAUUUAUGGGCCACUUUAUUUAAAAUACUAUUCUCUUAUUUUACUACCUUUGGAAAUUUUACCAAUCCUUUAAGACUUUGCUCUUAAUUUCUCUUAUUCUCUAUGCAGAGCCAGUUGCUCCCUCCUCAGUAUUUCCAUAGCAUUCUGUUAGUUCCUCUGUUAUUUCAUAAUUAUAUUGUAUUGCAAUUAUUUGCUUACAAGUCUCUUUGCCCUGCAAAAAUAUGCCUUAAAUGCCAAGGCUAAUCUUAGUUAUCAUCUCAGCCUCUCCCCGGCUUCCACAGUGUCUGCACCCAGUCUGUCAGAUGAUUAAGUUCACAGUGGUUAUAAAUGUACAGAGAGAAUUGGGAAUAUCCAGGUUUAUAGAGGCCUCAAAAAUUAUGCUCAGGUGAUCGUGACAAAACUGUAGGAUCAAAGGUUAUGGAGAGUUGGGUUGAAAACUAGUUGAUCAUCAUCUCUAGAAGCAUAUAGGUUAGGUAAAAUCCAACAAAUCAAUUUAUAAUCAAUUUUUUGGUGUUUCUAAAAAGUUACUUACAUUGCCAAAUUUUCAUUUACUUUUUUUGUGGGAAUAUUCUGACUGCUAAAAAUGCUGCAUUCAAAAUGAAUAAAAUAGCAGUUUUUAUAUCCCUAUCUCAAAAUAACUCCCCAGAUGGUCUUCAAACUUUCCAAGAAAAUAAACUUUGGAAAGAAGUCAAACAUAAGAUCUUACUGCCUAAAAAUACACCCAUCAACCCCAAUGAGGUUAUAGAUAUGAGGUAACGAGAGAUGAUUUGACUUUGACUAAUUAGCACUUUUGUUGGUACCAAUAAUGUCAUUUACUGGAGAAAGCUUAUCAUUGAAUUCAUGAUUUAAAAAUAUAAUAUACACUUGAGUUAGUACAGUUAUUCACAUAGGUUCAAGACCUAUAUGUUUGUUUUAUCAUUAGCAUUAAAUCAUCAUCAUGAUCAUUGUUAACUCUCAAUUAUUAAGAAUGUACUAUUUGCCAAGGAAUUAAUUAGCUCUACGUACUUCUCCUCAUUUAAUCUUUAGACAUCCAAGAAAAUAGUAUGGCAGAUACUGAAGGCUCACUUAAUGUAUGGUUCAUUUGAUAUCUUUUCUAAUACUCUCCCCUUUGCUUUGUAUAUUACAGUGGUUAGAAAGUGAAUAUUAAGAUUCCCAGCCUCACUAGAUGUGCCCAUGAGUUACAAUUCUGAUGAGUGAGAUAUAGGUGGAAACCUCUGAAAGAGAAUCUCUUUCCAAAACCUUUCAAGGAGAUUUUUACAAACUUCACCCUUUCCUGUGUUUACCUAAAACCUGUCCUGAUGUCUAGAAGCGCAGCAGACACUAAAAACAUGAGGGGAAAAAGGAUAUUCAGACAAGAAAAGCAAAAAGAGUCAUCUGGGACAUGAAAUAGGCUGUUAGGAAAUAGUGCCAUCUGAAACCAAAUUACUUCUCUGAUGAACAAGAGUAAUAAGCUAGUUAAUUUCAUCCAAAUUCUAUAAAUUUGACUUCUUGAUUAUUUUUUUAAAACUUUGCCCUCCUCUCUCUUUCUACUGCCACUGGCCUGGCCUUUUACAUGCUUUCCUAUUUCUCUUCUGGAAAUCAGCUUCUUUCUUGAGCUGUUAAAUAUAUGAAACUACAACUUCACUCUUGGAUUCACAACCUCUGUAUUUUUAGUCAUGUGAGAAAAAAUAAGCCAUAUUUAGUUAGUUGCCGUGGUUGCGGUUUCCUUAUACACUCAACACAAGCAUAACUAAUUCAGACUAAUUCUUCUCUUCCUAUUUUAUAGAUGAUGAGAUGGAGGAUUAAGGGGGUUUUAUAACUUGCCCAAAGUUGCCCAAAUUGUAAAUACUUUUUAUAAGAUUCAGAUUCAACCUAUUAGAAUCUGAAGUUAAUCUUCUUUACAGUCUAGAAUUUCAAAAAAAAUUGGAAGAACCACUUAGAAUUGCCAGUGGCAAUUUCAUAUGGGUUAUCCUAGUUGUUUAAAUACUAUAAUAAUAUGUAUACCUACAUACAUUUAUUUACUGUUUACUGGUUAAUUAAUAAAAUUCAGAUUGGACUAAUUCAGUUUAUGAAUUAGGAAAUACUAUGAUGACUAAAUUAAUUAAAUUGUUAUUUCCAAAGUCAUUAAUUUUUAGCGUAUAAAUAUUGCUUUUAUGUUAGAAUACCUACCACUGUACAUAACACACAGAGGGAACUCCAAAAGUAUUCAUUGAGUAAAGAAUAUUUUGAACUUAGUAACCUCCUUUGCAGGUGACAUUUACAAAAAAAACAUACGUUUUGAACAAAGAAUAUUAUUGCCUGUAAUAUAGUUACUGGUCGGAAAGAGAUUACUAGUUUUCCCAGGGGUAUUCUUCCUCACUUGGUCUAACACAGUUAUUCCUAUUUUAAAACAUGGCUCAUGUCAUCCACGUUGUGAUAUAUUCCUAACACCUUACUAUUACUCUGUCCCUUGUACAUACACCUGUUAUUGAAGUAACUACAAUCUCAUGUUCAUUUUCCCCACUAAUUUGUGAAUUACUAAAGAUGAGAAGCUUGUCUUCAUCUUUAUAUCCCAGGGACUUAGAUGGUAUUUGAUAAAUGUUUCAUGAAUGGAAUUUAUUACUAUGAAAUUUAUUGCUAUGAUUUCAAUGUGUUUAACAUCAAAUGCACAUUUUAGAAAGAUAAAUUUAUCUGUAAACUUUCAAAUGAGAUUUAAUGACAUUUGGGGAAGAAAACGGGAAAAUAUUCAUUUGAAAGAAAAAGUGAGCUAAAAAAUUUUGAAGUAAUAUUUGGUGAUAGACAAUAAUUCAAAAGGGAAAGAAAUGGAGAAGGGAGCAGUUGCAGAUGCUUUUGGCUAUAAAGGACAUCCAGGCAAAGCACAUGUGUGAUUUCAAUGACACUUCAUCAUUGUUAUAUGAAAGCAAUGAGAGCUAGAUAAAAGGCAGCUGAAGGAGUUCUCUUGUGCUGCAGCGAGUUAAGGAUCUGGCGUUGUCACUGCAGCGGCUCAGGUUGCAGCUGUGCUGUGGGUUCGAUCCCUGGCCUAGAAACUUCCACAUGCCAUGGGUGUGGACAAAAAGGGCGGGGGGCACAGCUGAAGACAGGCACAGACCAAGAAUAAAGAGAAGAGCUUGAUGGUUGUGAGUAUGGUCACGUUUUGAUCUGCUUUAUAAAGUUCUGCUUUGCUGCAGUAUUUUCUUUAAUGAGAUCACUGGAAUCAGGAUACAGGUCUAAGAUUAUGCUACUACUUUGAGUGAUGGAAAUAUUAGAUUUGUGGUGUUGAGCGAGACUGUCAGCCAUGGGCUCUUAGCAAAUCUAUCAGUUUUUGCUGAGUGUUAUUUGUCAGGCUUAACUUAAGACUUAUCUGUCAUCUGAUACUGAGCCAUCUUUGGAGCUAGUCACAUAGACAACAGAAUAGAUCAAAGUUGGCUUUUGUCUAACUAGCUGCUCUUCUAGGAGAGUGAGACUGGCUUAUUUGCUUCUUGCUACAAUGUUUGCUGUUUACUCAAAAGGUACUGAGAUCCUUGGCCUCUCUUGUGCUAUGCAACCCACUGAGUGUGGAUGUGCAUCUAGCCCUUCUCACUACCUUUUGGGAACUGGGCAAAUAUUGUGCUCAUGUUGCUUGCUGUGCUUUGAGUAAUAAAGUUCUUUGUCAUUGACCCAGGAAUAUCAUGCCUUUUGUCAGCAUGACACUUCUAGCCACAUAACAAACACUGUGGCAAACUAAAUUGUUAGCUUGCAGGUGGGGUAAAAUCUCAAAUCCUUCCCAGUUCUUAAUAGUGGAUGUCUCCUUCAUAACAGCUGUGCUCAGUGGAUACAUAAAAUUUUACAUAAAGAUUGAUUUGUAAUAUGGGGAUCAUCUGUGCCUAGGGGCAUAAUUACUGGCCUACAAAAGUGAAGGCUAACAUGGAAAAUAUUGUGACACCUUGAGGGAAAGCAAGUCAUAUUCUGAUGAAUCUGUAAAUUUAAUUUUUUGCCACACUGAGCAAGCAUAGUCUUACACUCAUGUUAAAUGGAUUUUUUGGAGCCAGGUAGCUCAUGUUUAGCACUAGAUCUCAUGGUUGUACCUGCUGGGUGGAAAAAGUAAAAGGAGUAGCUGAUACCAAAGAAAGAUUGAAUGCUCACUGGAGCGUUUAGGAUAUUUCAUUCAUAUCUGUUCAAGAGUCAGUAAAUAGUUCUAUUCAAAAAGUAACAGUGUGUUGAAGGAGGACCAAGUGAACAAUGCAUCAAAAGUAAGAUACUUUUAUAGACACUGGUAGUAGACCUGUUAUACGUAAAAAGAAAAGACAGUAAAUUGUUCUAUUCAACUAACACUAUAUUCAAGGGCAGUCAAGUGAAUAAUGAAAUAACAGUAAAAUGUUUUCACAGCACUGUGAUACAGGGUUAAUUGUAAUAGCCAUUGUAAUUAUUGUAAUUAUUGCUGACUUGCAUGUUUUAAUCCCUUCAAAUGUUGCAUCAAAUAUUCCAGUAUAAAAAAUGAACAUGAACAAACAAAAUGUUGGGAACUGCUAACACAAAAAGGGGAGAUUGGGAAUGGGAGAGCAAGAAAAACACAAAAGAGUUAAGGAUUUAAGCUCGCUAGAAUAUAUAAAAAAACAUGCCAUAAAAAGUGUUCAUUAAUUCAGAAACUUUCACAAUUGUGAGAGGAGAGAUUCCAAAGUGGGCAGAUCUAUUUAUAAACAUUUAACAAUCUAGAAGCAGCAACUAUCCAGGGAGGUAGAAUUUUAAUUAAAUGCCUAGAGGCAAUCUAAAAUGAUGUAAGUGAAUUCAAAAUUUAAAAGAAAGUAAUCAUUUACAAUUACAAAUAUAGUUAUAGAUAAUUAGACAAAUUCUAUAGUGAUAUAAUUAAAUGACUGGCACGUCCUUUGUCUUAGGUUCAUUUGUUCAAUAAUUGAGCUGCUCUAAUAUACAAUUCAUUUGUUCCUGUCUCUAAGGAGAUCACAGUUUAGUGGGGAAGAAAAUACACAAACAACUGUCUAUGUCAUAUUUAGUGAAUUUUCUAGUAAAGGUACAAAGAUGCUUUGAGAUUGAUUCCUGACUAAAACAAUUACAGAGGGCUUCAUGGAGGAUGUAGCAUUACUCAGUAGAAAACUCUAUAGAAUUUUUAUAGACAAAGGGAUUGAAAAGGGCAUGAACCAAGGCUUGAAGGUGUGAAAGCUCUGGGCAUGUGCAAGGAAGACUGAGUGCCCUGGCAUGUCAGUAGGACACUGGAUUUUGUUUUAUUAGCUAAUCUUGAAAUCUUUUUCUAUUUCUCUUUAAAAGAUGAGUUAGGUUCAUUUCUACUUACUAAUAUAGUAAACGUUUGGCCUCUGUCCUGCCAGGUAGUUUCAUGUUUUAUGACUCUAAUUUUUCACUGGGUGGUUUAUUUCCUCAUUCUCUCUUUUGGGGUGAAUCUUUUCAUAUUUUAGGAAGGUUCGUAUUUUUUUCCUAAUGAUUAUCUUUGUUAUAAUAUUGAACCCUAAUCCCUCUUUAUCCCUUUGUCCUGCUUUCUGUUCCUCCAUCCUCAUUUCUCUCUUACUAUUGUCCAAUGGUUGUCUAACACCGAGUUAAUAUAUUACCAUUCCCCCAUUUUUGAGUAGUUGUAAUAUAUAUUCUUAGGGCAUAUAUACAUCAUAUAUUAUAAAUGCCUCUUUACACUCAUAAUUUAGUAAAAAUUCUCAAGGUAAAUAUGUUUUUAACAUUCUUCACCAGUCUUCUUGAUUAUCUGAAAUUUGCCUUAUAGAUUCCUUAGGAGUAGAUCACAGAAACAUCAUUUCCUAAGUUAUUUUACAUUCUUAACACUUUAUAAUUGGGGGUCAGUUUGAUCACAUGUAAAAUAUUUGCUCAUGGAUUUCCCUUCGUGGUCAGCAGAAACAAAUCCGACUAGGAACCAUGAUGUUGCAAGUUCGAUCCCUACCUUGAUCAGUGGCGUUGCUGUGAGCUGUAGUGUAGGUCGCAGACGUGGCUUGGGAUCUGGCACUGCUGUGGCUGUGGUGUAGGCCAGCAGCUGUAACUCCGAUUGGGCCCCCAGCCUGAGAACCUCCAUAUG